GACGAACGCUGGCGGCGUGCUUAACACAUGCAAGUCGAACGGAAAGGCCCUGCGUUUGUGGGGUGCGCGAGUGGCGCAAGCGUGUGUGACACGUGAGUAACCUGCCCUUGACUGUGGGAUAACUUCAGGAAACUCGGGCUAAUACAGGAUAGGAGCUCCUGCUGCAUGGUGGGGGUUGGAAAGAUUCGGCGGUGUGGGCUGGUCUCGCGGCUUAUCAGCUUGUUGGGGGGGUAGUGGCUGACAAAGGCUGUGAAGGAUAGCCGGCGUUGGAGGUUGACCGGCGACAUUGGGACUGCGAUACGGCCCAGACGCCUAUCGUAGACAGUGGGGGGGAACAUUGUGCAGCGAGCCGAAGUCAAUUAAGGAAACGCCCGGUUCGUGAUGAUGUGUUUCGGGUUGUAAACCACUUUCGCCUGUGAUGAAGCGUGAUUGACGGUAACGGGUAAAGAAGCACCGGCUAACUACGUG
rnacentral:rRNA from 1 species